GCUGUACAGUAUGAGCCAUCAGAACAGAAGCAACACGAAUAAGAGAUGGGAAAUGCCUGCAUGAAACUCGUCUAUGAAGAGGGCAAAGACAUGUACACUGCCAACAUGCAUGUUAUUGCC